GGCCUCUUAGGCUGUUUCUAACGCUGAGGCCCGAAAGCGUGGGUAGCAAACAGGAUCAGAUACCCUGGUAGUCCACGCCGUAAACGAUGGACACUAGGUAUAGGGAGUAUCGACCCUCUCUGUGCCGAAGCUAACGCAUUAAGUGUCCCGCCUGGGGAGUACGGCCGCAAGGCUAAAACUCAAAGGAAUUGACGGGGGCCCGCACAAGCAGCGGAGCGUGUGGUUUAAUUCGAUGCAACGCGAAGAACCUUACCAAGGCUUGACAUGGCGGGAGUAGCGACCUGAAAGGGAAGCCACCUGUUGAGUCAGGAACCGUCACAGGUGCUGCAUGGCUGUCGUCAGCUCGUGCUGUGAGGUGUUAGGUUAAGUCCUGUAACGAGCGCAACCCCUGUUGCUAGUUGUUUUCUCUAGCGAGACUGCCCUGUAAAAUGGGGAGGAAGGUGGGGAUGACGUCAAGUCAGCACGGCCCUUAUGCCUUGGGCUACACACACGCUACAAUGGGUGGUACAAUGGGUAGCAAUAGAGCAAUCUGGAGCCAAUCCUGUAAAGCCAUCCUCAGUUCGGAU
rnacentral:rRNA from 1 species